rnacentral:rRNA from 1 species
UACGAAGGGGGCUAGCGUUGUUCGGAAUUACUGGGCGUAAAGAGCUCGUAGGCGGUUUGUUGCGUCGGCUGUGAAAUCCCGAGGCUCAACCUCGGGUCUGCAGUCGAUACGAGCAAACUAGAGUGUUGCAGGGGAGACUGGAAUUCCUGGUGUAGCGGUGAAAUGCGCAGAUAUCAGGAGGAACACCAAUGGCGAAGGCAGCACUCUGGGACGUGACUGACGCUGAGACGCGAAAGCGUGGGGAGCAAACAGG